CACACACACACACACACACACACACACACACACACACACACACACACACACACACAUACGGUCAUGCUAUUGUUCACUUUCCCGAAACUGGAAGUGGAAUGUGGAUCGAGGCCUGAUUGGUCGAUUGAGUGUGUUGACGUCAGAACACUUCAGCGAAUGGCCGCUGCCACAGCCCGCCGCUUGGCCAGACAGCUGGAUCGCCGCCGUCUGUGCAAGCAGUGGAUUGUUACGCUCACAGCCUGGUGCACUGGUCACUAUCCCGGAAAAACAAGUUGAGUCGUGUUUGAGUUAGUGCUGCUGAGUAUUUUUAAUUCAUUUCCAGUUCCUGGCGCUGGAGAAGUAAACAAGUGUGAAUAUUCAUGAUGGUUGCCUUGUUGAUCGAGUGCAACAUUGCAUUUUUAGCUUCUCUUCCUGCUGGCAGUGUUUCAGACUUUCAGUAGUAGCCUUCCAUCGCCCGUGCAGGAGUGGCGCGCCGCUCUCCCCGGUGUGCAGGCUGUGGUGGUGCCGGUGGUGGUCAUGGACCGGGCGUGGAGGCCUUGUGUGGACCCCGUCUAGUCCCUCACGCAACUUGGUUACCUGUGUUUGGUGCAUAGGUGUGCUCUUCCUCGCUGUGUGGUGUGCUCAGACACACACACACACACACACACACACACACACACACACACACACACACACACACGUGUUUCAAUAAGACUAGUGAUGUUUUUUGUUAUUUCCACCUGUUCAUCUUAGAGGCUGAGGACUGCGGAUGUUUCGUGAUGAUGAUAAGAAAAACAGUCAUCCAGAUUUUCGAGCUUCCGCGCCACGUCAUCGUGGAGAGAAGGAAAAAAAAAAAAAAUCGUUGGUCUUUGUUACAUGUCUAAUGUUGAGGCAGCAGCACAAGCGCUGUGUGUGUGUGUGUGUGUGUGUGUGUGUGUGUGUGUGUGUGUGUGUGUGUGUGUGUGUGUGUGUGUGUGAAGAAACCACCCGUUCGUACCUACAGCAAACCACGUGUGUCGGUUAGUAAUUUUCACGGGUUGAGACCAAAUGGCUGUGAGAUAUGGUAGACUUCGCUGCGUGGCUGGUGAGCUGCCGUGACGCAACCACUGUCGCGUGUACCAGCGUUCUGCUUUGGGUGGCAGGCCCCUCCCUACCCCGCCUGGCUUUAGCCGCUCCACCCUCGUCGUGCCGGGCUGCAGAGCUCCUGUAGUGUUCGGAACGGCUUGCCGGCAUUGCGAUGGAUACUUGGCAUAGGAAGGUAGUGAGAGAAAGAAGACAAGUGGAAGAGCUAGGCAGCAAGAGCGUCUCGCCGGUGUCUGCAGCAAGUGGUGGGGGCGGGAUGGACGGGUAGCGCGGCCCCAGGCAGUGAUCGUGACUUCCGGGCCGGCGGGCUUCCGUCGCCGCCCACUAUUGGGGCCCCUCGGGGAAGGGGCACCUCACUGUUGGGGCUCCGACGCUUCCGCAGCCCCCAGGAUCCCCGACCCAUGUCUGGCCUUUGCUGUCCUGCUUCACGCAGGUCCUAGGGGGCGGCGCGGUAGUGAAGGUUCAGAGAAAGGCUUGCAGAUCAAUGAUUCCCGAGCGUGCAGGUUGAGUAACGGCCCCACACACCCUCCUCAUGGCGAUAUGGUCGUCUACACCAUUUUUAUAAUUCCUUCCUGCCGCUCCUUAUCCUCCUCCUCCUCCGCCAUCACAUACCGGUGGAAGAUGAAUACUGAAGAUAAUGCCAUAAUAAUUUCCUUUCUUUAAUUAUCUCAGUUCACCUGCCUUCUGUGUAUCCUCCUGCUCCUCCUCCUCUUUACCUUCUUUCUUUUGGCAAUACUUAAAACGUUUGUGUGAAUACUAUGUAAAAAAAAUGUAUUGUUAGAAGUGCUGGUGAAUUAUUUAAUUUUGUGUCAUAAGAGUCAAGUCACGUGUUUUAGCACUUAGUGGAGCAGCCUGUGCUACAGUACGUGGCUGUUGUGAAAAUGACAACGCCACUCACUACAGCUCAGCAAAAAUAACGUACCACCUUACGACUGCUCGUGGUGGUAUGUCGGUUUCCUUAAUGAUCCAAGUCACGCAAAGUGUGUGGGUGAAAACUCACGUUAUAGAAGAGGAGGCGAGACAGGCCGGCAGUGGACCAGGUGGAUGCAGGCAGACGUCCACAUAUCCUUGGCACUGGAAGAAUUCACAGAUAGUUAUGAGGUCGUGGAUUCCACAGUGCCAAAGAUGGAAGGACAGAACACCUUCGAUGGAAGUCACCGUCACAAGCACUCCCACUACGCCCGCCAUUGCUGCCAUCACCGCCAUCAUCAGCAGUAUAUGACCUUGCCGCCGCCACCUUCACUUUUAACAGGAAACGUAUACAGUCCCUUUGGAAUCCUUCAUUAGUUCUAACACUAAACCAGCCGCUGCCACAGUCGCCUCAUAAUAUUAAAAAUACACACAUUAUUACAAAUCAAUGUAAUUUGAUAAUCCAUAGGUAUUUAUAGAAUUCUUGAGGCCAAUACAUUGAAGCAUGAAAUAACUCCCAUCUCGCAGCCUUUGGCUAACAAUGAUUACGUCAGCUGGCACUGCUAUGCUGUGUUUCUAGGAGUGUGUGCAAUACAUAUAUGAUGGACAUUACUGUGAUCGAUCACAGUGUAUCACUUGAUGAGAUUAUCAAGCAGAGAAGAAUCUAUGGAAAGGGUUUAUACUAUGGCUUUGUUGAAAAUUUUUGUAGUUUAAGCUUAAAAAUUGACAUGUCACUGAGAAUAUGUGAGCUGACACAUCACUAGGAAUGUGGGGAACUAAAGUGUUUUGUAGCUUGUAUGUUACUAUUCACACUGCAUUGUCUAGAUUCCCGGACACGUGGCGCCAUUAGCAUAUUAGCACAUUGCAAAUAAAUCAAUAUAUAGUGGCGAGGCGUGCCUGGUGAAAAAUUGGAGGCGCAUGUGUAAGGAUGCCACAUGUUGCUUUAAGUACUGGCAUGUUAAUGAGUCUUAACUUAUUGUAUUUUUUCCAUUUCUUUGAUGUUGACUCAUGAAAGUAUGAAUUACUGCAGAAAUAGCGUGUCACACGUAAUCUUGAGGCCUUGCUAUUACAGGGACAUCGGAGCACAAUGCCUGGCUGACUGAGGAAGCGACAGAUAGGCUUCUAAAAUAUUAUGAUAAUAAAAAAAAGUGUUACAACAAGUAAUCCCAUUAUUAACAGCACCUUAACAUACUUCAGACUUAGGCAGUGUACGAUGUAGCACGUAAUUUUAGAGUGUUAGAUGGUGAUUUUAGCCAGAAAUAUAGUAAAACUCAGCUGAUAAGGCUUUUCAAUAAUGUAAUUUGGUUACAUGUUUAUUAUGGUUCAUUUGUGAAGCUUCACAUAUCCUAUUUUCAUGGUAAAUCCUAAUUAUGUGAGGAGAAUAUUGAAACGAGUUCGCUGGUCUCAUUUUCUGAAAUGGUUUAAAAAAUGAAGCAUGUCGAUAGUUUAGGUAAUAUUGCAUUGUAUUACUUUCUACGUUAUCCAACUAUUCUUAAUGAAAGUUUGUAGUAUUAAUAUUAUAGUUACACAUUCCAACUUUUAAUUAUAUGAACUGAUGUCUGUGUGGUGUACCUCCGUAAAUGUUUUAAGAUUGUACGAAACUCUUUCCUCUUUGGCAGAUAAUUCCAAUUAUUAUCCCAUCUUCUCACUACUCAUCUGUUCCUUUUCCGAAACAUGUCUGGUUACUUGUAUAUGUGUUAAUGAAUGGUAAUGAUUAAAUAUUAAACAUAAUAUAAUUGUUUCAUGUUAUUUUCCCUUUGUUGCUCGGGAUGGUUCAUUCUCAGUAGAUGGGUCGGAGUCUCGGACGUCGCGCCGAUUGGUAGCCCCACUGAGCAGACACACGGUGGAAUGGCAGAAGCCUAUUCUUGUUCUCUUUUGUAUUAGUGUUGACACGUUUCUUUGCGCCUCUUCAUCGACACAGCAUGGCCAGAGCGUCAAGGUCGUCAUUAGUUACCCCAUAAAGUUAAGUGGAAAUGGGGGAAGCAGUAAUGAGUGUGGCUGUCAUGGAGUCUCGGAGAGUGAUUCCAUGUGUCCUUCUGCUGCACGUAACACCCAGGCGCUGUGAUAUUAACUGAUUGAGAUCGUUGUAAAGGCUCUGUAUGAUCAGACUCCCUGUACUGCUCCCUCAAGGCGGUGUUCUACCUGUCUGCUACUGGCACAAUGUCACCACCAAUAGGAACAGAACAACACGGCAGCAGAGGACAACGAACCACGAGGAAUUGGAUUUUCAGAAAUUAAGAUGUGGUGCCUAGAUGGUUACACUAUGCACUCCAGUCGUGAAGUGUCCCAAAGUGUCCCACUUCUUCUUCUACUACUACUACUACUACUACUACUACUAAUAAUAAUAAUAAUAAUAAUACCUCUACUACUGGUACAAACAUGUUGUUGUUGUUGCCAACGAUAUGCCUGGGUUAAAUGGGUGGUGCGUGUGGCGGCAUCCCGGUGGUGCUGCUGAGGUGAGAUCAUCAAGAAUUCAGAAUGCACACGGAGUUGCAGACACUUAUAUUGAUGAACGUAGGAUGGAGUGGGAAUUUCCAUCAGGCAACCAUGAUUAUUAUGCCGUCCAGGGUUCAGGUGGAACGGGAAGCACUAAUGAAGGAUGAUAGGUAGAGUGUUCCUUUUAGAACUUACUUAUUUAUGCAUUGGUUGUAUUUGCUGCUCAUUUAUUUCUUUAUUUCUUUAAUUGAUUAAUUUAUGAAUUCAUCAGUUGAUAUAUUCAUUUUGUAAUUUGAGCUAUUUGUUGACUAAAGGACUGUGAAUGUGAUCGUUGUCUGUAGUGCUGCUGCAUUCCAGACGAAAACCAUGGCUAUAAUGUGUGUAGAUCUCAGAGUUGUUGCACCUUUAUUUAUAUCUCAACUCAAAUCAGGUGGACCGUAUGUAUAUAAUUCUGAUCCAUUACUCUUUUUUUCGCUGAAUAUUUAUUAGUUAAAGACAUAGACGAUAUUGUGCAUUAUGUGGUGGUGUUAAUGUGGCCUUGGGUAGUGCAGCACCGGCCAUGUGAGGAUGAACUUGGAGCUCAGCGGCCCGUAGUGAAGCCCUGUCAUCUGGAAGACUGCUUCAUUAAUAGUGACUGGUACUGAAGAAAGAUUUGGUGAAUUAGUGACAACAUAUAGAUAGGAUAUAAACAUAUAUUUAUUACAAAAUACACAGUUGCACAGUUUAUUUGUAAAUAUUUGUAUAGUAAUAUCAGAGUUUAUCUUAAAA